GGAAGGCGCUGCCUCCGCCGGGCAGCGCUCAGCUCUACGCCAGAGAGGGCUGGAGAGACGAUUAGGGCUCCGGUUCCAAGGACAGAACUCUUAAGAGAGAAGGUGCUGCUGCAAGCGAGGGCCACAGCCUCCGCGGCUAUUUCCAGACAAACUCCUCACGCGUCCACAGCUUCUCGGUUCAGUCCUCUUUCCACCCUGUCAGCCGCUUUCCGAGGAGAAACCAAGACGCCGGGAGGAAACACGUGAGCCGUUUCCCCAGGUUGAGAGUGGAAAUGUCUUCUGCGCCUUCCAGACGGGAAUCGCCCUCUAAGCUCCAGUCCUCCCCCUGCUCACACCACAGUGAAGAUUAUAAAAAAGGAUGGCGUGGAGCAGAUGAGUCCUGUAGCCUGUCCGUUUUCCAAAGAAGUCUGGCGUGAUCCCACUGAGGAAGUGGGGAAGGAAGCAUAUUUAAAGUACUGGGAGGAAACCGGUAUGGUGACAUGGCCUGCAAUCCGAGUACUCAGAAGUUGGAGGCUGGAGAAUCACAAGUUCAAGGUCAUGCUCAGCUACAUGGCUUGUAUAAAGUACUCUCAGGGCUGAACUUUAUACAAAGCACCAGGCGAAGCACCAAGAGGAAGUGUUAUCAACCUGGAUUCUAGGAAGGAUGGUCAAGGUUCUUUCUGAAUCACAGGCUUUGCAAUCUGGGAGAGCUGCCUGUGACUGGUGGAGAAAGAAGACUCUAAACAGCAGCAGAUUCAGCCUCUCACGUGGGUUAAUGAGGCCAUUUUGAGUGGAUGGCAUGAGAGGGAGGAGAGGAACAGCAGAGGAACCUGCACAACAAGCUCAGCAGGGGUGAGGCUACUAGACUUGGAGCUUUCUAUGUAAGAAGUGACCUCCCUGCACUAUAAUGCUAUUAAUCAUCAGGCCCAGCAGCAUUUCUGCAGCAGCAAACCACGUGCAUGGCAAUGCAAAUUCAUCUAGCUGGUCCUGACACUCAAGCCAAAGAACAAAAGAGAUAAGGAAAACCAACUCCACAUCUGUCUCAUCCAUCAAAGGAAAUCACAUCACUGAUGAGUAGCAAUAUCAAGUUCUCUGGUACCAAAGAAUACUGAAGAAUCCUGCUAAAGAACCACAGCCAUCAACUAGCACACCCAGGUAUACAUACACGAGUGCAGGUGCCCACAGAGGCCAGAGGAGGUGGAUCUCCCUGGUGCUGCAGUGGCAGUCACAGGCAGUUGCGAACCAGCUGCUGUGGUUGUGAAGAACCUCAGAUCCUUGGAGGAGCAGUACUUAUCCUGACCCCUAAGUCAUCUCCUUAAGCCCUGAAGGACGCCUGACAGUUAACCACGGCUGGGGAGGAGGUGUCACUUUCUUUAAUGGCACCCAUAAGUCGCCCAUAUUCUAUUUGAGACAAGGUCUUUCCCUGGACUUGGAACUCACUGCUGCUAAGCUGCCUGUCCGGUGAGCCUGAGGACCUUCCUGUCGUCCCACCAGCACUGGGUAACAGACACCAGGCGCAGCCUCUCUGUGGGACUUAACUCAGGUUCUCAUGGUGUAUGGCAAGCACUCUGCCCGCAGAGCCAUCUACCCAGCGUCUGUAUGAAGAUACUCUGCCCUCUCUUUGUUCACUGCGACUCCUGUUGAGUGUACUUGAUAACAGUAACACUCUUUUACAUUUAAGAACACAAAAUAUAGCGGUUUUGCUCAGUAUUUCGUGAUUUUAAAAGACAUUUACUGACAGUAAAGAUGUUUACCUAGGCAUAGUACCUCAGACCCACAAUCCCGGAACUUGGGAGGCUGAGACAGGAGGACUGCAAUGACUUUAGGGCCAACCUGAGUACAGACUGAGACACUAACUGACAAGAUUACAUGGAAAAAAAAAUACCAUAAAACCAUUUUAAAGAAAAAAAAAGCAUUUACACAGAAAAUGUUGUAGAAAACAGUGCCACAGUGCUCAGAAAGAAGCAGAACAACACAAGGUGCUUUCUUAUUUUUUGUUUUCUAUGAUGAAUCAUAUCUAUGUAAUAAGCAAAACCCAGCUGAACAAAUGAAGUUGCCAGAAUCUUGAUAGCAGUAUUUUAUGUGCUUAAUGAACUUAUUCAACAAGUAUUUAUUAGGUCUCUACUUCGGAAUAGGUGCUGUUCCAGGUCCUGGGGAUACAGCAGUGAGCAGUUCAGAUAAAAAGCCUUGACUCAGUGUCACUCACCUUUUGGGGAAACAGCUGAAGAAUAUUUGCAACAAAGGACAACCUUUGUACCUUAAGACAGGGAGACAGACAAAAUACUGUACCAUGCUGUCUGUGAAAAGGCCAUGAGAGAAGACAGGAGGGAUGGGGGGGCACACUGGUGGGAAUUUAAAAUACAGUCAAGUGUGCUUCUUUUAUGAUAGCUGCAUAAAAAUCUAGACAGAUGAGCAAGCAGGUGGUACAGAAACUCAGGAAGGAGCCUUCUUAGUGUGUUUAAGGACCAACAGAAAGGCCAGUCCUACUGGGACAGAGGCAGGAAGUGGUGGGAGGUAAGACAGAGACUAAUGGGGACAAGACUGUGCACAGCUUUGGCUCCAAACUGGAGUGAAAGGUAAAGCUAUUACAUCAGUUGGGCCAGAAGUGACAUCGUCCAAUCUGCAUGUCAGCUGCAGCCAGAAUCCUAAAAAGAGACUGAAGCAAGGGAGCAGUGACUGCAAUAAUCCAGGAGAGCACAAUGGCGCCUUGGACCCAGGUCAGCACUGAAAGGGGGAAAGAUGAGAUACGGUUUGAAGCUGAAGCUGUUAGAGUUUGCCAAGAGGAAGGUGUCUGGCCUGGAGAGAUGGAUGGAUGGAGGUGUCCUUAAGUGAUACAGGAAAAAGGGUGGUUUGCAAUAGGAGGAGGGACAGGGAUUUUGAGCUUGGUUUGGACAUAGUAAAUUUGAGAUAUUAAAAAUGUGAAAAGGCUAUUUCAUCCUCUGGAUCUAGCCUCACACUUCUUGUGAACUCACUAGAAAAACUAUAAUUCCGGGUAAAACAGAAGGGGAUGCAAAAUGAGUCUGAUAGGUGUUGGAGGUUGAUCUGAUGCUAAUUACUGGCCCUCUGUGUAAACCUGCCUAAGUCAUCAUACCUAAUUGGAUAAUGAAACAGCCUAUACCUGUGCAGGGCAGAAUGAGGUAGAUAUGGCUAAGGUUCCCAGCUCUGGAGAAUCCCUCGAGGAAUCACGGGAAGAGAGGGAGGAGGAGGAUGCCAGGAUGGGUGAGCCUGGAGAAAACACCACUUGGGCCGCAAGACUCCAAUAGUAGUGUGAAAAGGCCCAGAUGGAGAAUAAAAGCAAGUAUUUAUAAGAUAUGGAUGGAAGAUAGAAUGGUUAAGGAGGAUGGCAUUGGAUGGGGGCUGGGAGAUGGAUGGUGAAGUGAUUGAGACAGUGCAGGUAGGAAUACCGGCCUGGUGCAAGGUAAAUAAGGCAAUUAUAAAAUCUAACAGGUGUCUGUGUGUUGUUAUUUGUGAAAGCGAGUUAAAUAACAUUGCUGUGAUAAUCUUACGGCUAAUAAUAAAUAAUAUACAGCCCAAUACUCUUUUUGUAAUUACUACAACAGAUAGUACAAUGUUA